rnacentral:rRNA from 1 species
UGGGGAAUAUUGCACAAUGGGCGCAAGCCUGAUGCAGCGACGCCGCGUGAGGGAUGACGGCCUUCGGGUUGUAAACCUCUUUCAGCACCGACGAAGCGCAAGUGACGGUAGGUGCAGAAGAAGGACCGGCCAACUACGUGCCAGCAGCCGCGGUAAUACGUAGGGUCCGAGCGUUGUCCGGAAUUACUGGGCGUAAAGAGCUCGUAGGUGGUUUGUCGCGUUGUCCGUGAAAUCCCACGGCUUAACUGUGGGCGUGCGGGCGAUACGGGCAGACUGGAGUACUGCAGGGGAGACUGGAAUUCCUGGUGUAGCGGUGGAAUGCGCAGAUAUCAGGAGGAACACCGGUGGCGAAGGCGGGUCUCUGGGCAGUAACUGACGCUGAGGAGCGAAAGCGUGGGGAGCGAACAGG